UACGGAGGGUGCAAGCGUUGUUCGGAAUUACUGGGCGUAAAGCGCGUGUAGGCGGCUUGGCAAGUCGGGUGUGAAAUCCCGGGGCUCAACCCCGGAACUGCAUUCGAAACUGCCUGGCUGGAGUCCCGGAGAGGGUGGUGGAAUUCCCAGUGUAGAGGUGAAAUUCGUAGAGAUUGGGAGGAACACCAGUGGCGAAGGCGGCCACCUGGACGGUGACUGACGCUGAGACGCGAAAGCGUGGGGAGCAAACAGG
rnacentral:rRNA from 1 species